rnacentral:rRNA from 1 species
ACUACUUUCAUGUUGGAACACAGAAAGUCGGAAACGGUCCGCCGCCGGAGGACGUGACUGCGGCCGAUUAGGUAGAUGGUGGGGUAACGGCCCACCAUGCCGAUAAUCGGUACGGGUUGUGAGAGCAAGAACCCGGAGACGGUAUCUGAGACAAGAUACCGGGCCCUACGGGGCGCAGCAGGCGCGAAACCUUUACACUGCACGCCAGUGCGAUAAGGGGACCCCGAGUGCGAGGGCAUACAGUCCUCGCUUUUCGUGACCGUAAGGUGGUCACAGAAUAAGAGCUGGGCAAGACCGGUGCCAGCCGCCGCGGUAAUACCGGCAGCUCGAGUGAUAGCCACUUUUAUUGGGCCUAAAGCGUCCGUAGCCGGCCGAACAGGUCCGUCGGGAAAUCCACUCGCUCAACGAGUGGACGUCCGGCGGAAACCAGUCGGCUUGGGGCCGGGAGACCAGAGAGGUACGUCCGGGGUAGGAGUGAAAUCCUGUAAUCCUGGACGGACCGCCGGUAGCGAAAGCGUCUCUGGAGAACGGACCCGACGGUGAGGGACGAAAGCUUGGGUCUCGAACCGGAUUAGAUACCCGGGUAGUCCAAGCCGUAAACGAUGCUCGCUAGGUGUGGCGUUGGCUACGAGCCAGCGCUGUGCCGUAGGGAAGCCGAGAAGCGAGCCGCCUGGGAAGUACGUCCGCAAGGAUGAAACUUAAAGGAAUUGGCGGGGGAGCACUACAACCGGAGGAGCCUGCGGUUUAAUUGGACUCAACGCCGGACAUCUCACCGGCACCGACAGUGUGCAGUGACAGUCAGUCUGAUGGGCUUACUUGAGCCACUGAGAGGAGGUGCAUGGCCGCCGUCAGCUCGUACCGUGAGGCGUCCUGUUAAGUCAGGCAACGAGCGAGACCCGCGUCCCUAAUUGCCAGCAGCAGCCUUGUGCUGGCUGGGUACAUUAGGGAGACUGCCGUCGCUAAGACGGAGGAAGGAACGGGCAACGGUAGGUCAGUAUGCCCCGAAUGUGCCGGGCGACACGCGGGCUACAAUGGCCGAGACAGUGGGACGCUACCCCGAGAGGGGACGCUAAUCUCCUAACCUCGGUCGUAGUUCGGAUUGCGGGUUGAAACCCACCCGCAUGAAGCUGGAUUCGGUAGUAAUCGCUCUCAGAAGGGCGCGGUGAAUACGUCCCUG